AGUGAACGCCGGCGGUAGGCCUAACACAUGCAAGUCGAACGGCAGCACGGUAAGAGCUUGCUCUUACGGGUGGCGAGUGGCGGACGGGUGAGGAAUACAUCGGAAUCUACUUUUUCGUGGGGGAUAACGUAGGGAAACUUACGCUAAUACCGCAUACGACCUACGGGUGAAAGCAGGGGAUCUUCGGACCUUGCGCGAUUGAAUGAGCCGAUGUCGGAUUAGCUAGUUGGCGGGGUAAAGGCCCACCAAGGCGACGAUCCGUAGCUGGUCUGAGAGGAUGAUCAGCCACACUGGAACUGAGACACGGUCCAGACUCCUACGGGAGGCAGCAGUGGGGAAUAUUGGACAAUGGGCGCAAGCCUGAUCCAGCCAUACCGCGUGGGUGAAGAAGGCCUUCGGGUUGUAAAGCCCUUUUGUUGGGAAAGAAAAGCAGCAGGUUAAUACCCCGCUGUUCUGACGGUACCCAAAGAAUAAGCACCGGCUAACUUCGUG
rnacentral:rRNA from 1 species